rnacentral:misc_RNA from 1 species
CUUGCUUCUGCCUGCACAGGCUCUUUUGCACUUCGUCUGGUGAAGUUGCUAAACACCUUAUUGAUUGAAUCACUUCUUAUGUUUCCGCGAUGUAGCCUUGAGGAAAAGGCUAGGUUUUUAGGGGGUGGUAAUGUUUGGAAUGUGGAGCUGAGCUAUCAAGUGUCAAAGAUAAAUGUUUCUAAGCAUUCCAGAAGAAUUACAGCAUGCGAUGUGUACAGCUGUAAAGAAAGGAAAGAGAAGUACACAGAAGGG